rnacentral:rRNA from 1 species
GAUGAACGCUAGCGAUAGGCCUAACACAUGCAAGUCGAGGGGCAGCACGAGGUAGCAAUACUUUGGUGGCGACCGGCGCACGGGUGAGUAACGCGUAUGUAACCUACCCUGUACAGGGGAAUAACCCGGAGAAAUUCGGACUAAUAUCCCAUGGAAAUAUUGAAAGGCAUCUUUUAAUAUUUAAAGUUCCGGCGGUACGGGAUGGGCAUGCGUAACAUUAGCUGGUUGGUAAGGUAACGGCUUACCAAGGCUUUGAUGUUUAGGGGUCCUGAGAGGGUGAUCCCCCACACUGGUACUGAGACACGGACCAGACUCCUACGGGAGGCAGCAGUGAGGAAUAUUGGUCAAUGGGCGCAAGCCUGAACCAGCCAUCCCGCGUGCAGGAAGACGGCCCUAUGGGUUGUAAACUGCUUUUCCAGGGGGAGAAACUUGCGUACGCGUUGCGCAAUUGACGGUACCCUGGGAAUAAGCAUCGGCUAACUCCGUG